rnacentral:rRNA from 1 species
GUACACGCUGUGACUAGCAUAUCAAUAAGCGGAGGAAAAGAAACUAACAAGGAUUCCCCUAGUAACGGCGAGUGAAGCGGGAAGAGCUCAAAUUUGAAAUCUUAAAGGGUUUCCCUUUACGAAUUGUAGUUUAAAGAAGUGUUUUCUGUUGAGGUUUUGGUAAAAGUCCUUUGGAAUAGGACAUCAUAGAGGGUGAGAAUCCCGUAUUUGACCUUUACUUUCAACUUUGUGAUACACUUUCAAAGAGUCGGAUUGUUUGGGAAUGCAGUCCAAAAUGGGUGGUAAAUUUCAUCUAAAGCUAAAUAUUGGCGAGAGACCGAUAGCGAACAAGUACCGUGAGGGAAAGAUGAAAAGAACUUUGAAAAGAGAGUUAAACAGUACGUGAAAUUGUCAAAAGGGAAGCGUUUGACACCAGUGUUGUUUUUCUGAAAAUCAAUUAAAGAACUGUUUAUGCUAAGCUGUUUAGACUUUAUCAGCUAACUGUUUAGUUUUGAGCUUUUCUUUAAUGCACUUUUCAGUUAACAAGUCAACAUCAAUUUCUUUUGCUGUAAAAAAGCUUGAGGAAGGUGGCUUGAGAUUCGUCUUAAGUGUUUAUAGCCUCUUGCCUAUGCAGUCGGAGAGAUUGAGGUCUGCAGCGUAGAUCCUUCGGGGCUAAAUGCAUUUGUGCUAAGUUAUAGCAUUUUAUAGACAACUUGUUGACUAUGAUUUGUCUUGUAGCUUACUCGCUUAUGUUAUUUUACCUACGCUUAGGAUGUUGAGUCGUAGAGCACGCAG